rnacentral:rRNA from 1 species
GUAGGGAAUAUUGGUUAAUGGGCGAAAGCCUGAACCAGCAACGCCGCGUGCACGAUGACGGCCUUCGGGUUGUAAAGUGCUUUUUGGAGGGAAGAGGAAGGACGGUACCUCCAGAAUAAGUCUCGGCUAACUACGUGCCAGCAGCCGCGGUAACACGUAGGAGACAAGCGUUAUUCGGAUUUACUGGGCGUAAAGCGCGUGCAGGCGGUCUGACAAGUUGGAUGUGAAAGCUCCUGGCUUAACUGGGAGAGGUCGUUCAAAACUAUCAGACUAGAGAGUGGUAGAGGAAGGCGGAAUUCCGGGUGUAGUGGUGAAAUGCGUAGAUAUCCGGAGGAACACCAGUGGCGAAAGCGGCCUUCUGGACCAAUUCUGACGCUCAGACGCGAAAGCUAGGGUAGCGAACGGGAUUAGAAACCCUGGUAGUCC